CAUUUUUCAAGGCUGAGUAAGAGUUUGUGACCUGAUAGACGAUGGCUGGCAAACUCAUUUCAUCAUAAAUAUCACAGCAGAUAAUAUACUUCAAUACAAGUGAUGCAUCUGCCUAUGCCAGGAUCCUCAGAAAUUGCCAGGAGGCAGAGGGGCUAUGCAGCCAGACACAGAGCAAAGUUCAUUCCACGGAAACGACAGCAAGGACUCCUCCGCAGCCACUGCUGGACUCCAGAAUGUGAUGACCACCAUGAGAACUCCACCAGCUGUGAUGCUGAGCCUACCUCUGCUGCCCUUGGACACUCACUCCCAAAUAAAGUUCAGAUUGCUCUCUCUGAUUA
ensembl:lncRNA novel transcript